GGGGCCGGAGUGUGGCGAAUCGCAGCGGGAGGAGGCGGACUUUGGUGUGGAGACAGGGAAUUAAAUGAGAAUUGGAUUUGCGCGAGAGAAAAUUCAGAAAAUCGUAUAUGGUGGUUUACAGCAACUGUGCCAGGAGACAUGGUCGGAUCGGAGAAGAGAGAAUGGUACGGUCUUUGUGGUUGGAAGAGAGAAUUCAUAAUGGGUCGGAUAAAAGAUAAUGGUGCGAUGCGGCGUCUGUGGUUGGAAGAGAGAAUUCUGAAAAUCGUGGUUUUUUGUGACUCUUUAAGUUUUGUGGGGGUGUCUGGUGUACGAAUCGCGGCGUGGGGAGGGAGGAGUCUGGUGUGGAGACGGGGCAGCGACGCUGACUUGGAGUCGGACUGCGGCGAAUAGCGGUGGGAAAAGAGGAAAGUCUUGGUCUGGUGUGGUGGGGAUACGUGAAUCAGAAAUUGGAUUGGAUUUGGGAGAGAAAAGU
rnacentral:lncRNA from 1 species